ACUCAGCGUGGUUAAUCACAACAUCUUGGGGCAAGUUGGAAGAAGCCGAUGGGUCCCUCAUAUGUGUUGGGCUGCAUCACUGCCAACCCCUGCCAGCUUUCCCCAGAACCUGGAGACAAGGGAGUUAUUGGAAAAAGAUUCUGCUCGUCUGGAAUCCUUCUCAGAGGACGGUCUUGGCAGGGCUGUUGCCACACACUUGCAACUGGUUUAUCGAGAAAUAGCCGCUUGCUGGGAGGGGAACUGCGGGAAGUCAUCUAGCACAUGGUGCUCUGCCGGCUCCGGUGACGAGCAGAUGAAAUGCUAUCGCUCGUCCAACAAGACCUCAGAAGUGACUCACUGAAUCCCUGAGGCCUCUUUAGAAGAAGAAUCUCCUACUUCCUCGGCAGCUCCUCCCUUUGCUCAGCCUGGUUUCCAGGAAGCAAGACAGUCAGGCUCCCUCAGAUCAGCUCUGCAGGGAGCAGAUGCUCUUGGAGUGGUUCUUCCCCAGUCUGGCUGGCUGAGUUGAAUGGCUGUUUAUGAGUUCUAAAAUGGUGCCUUUUCCAAACAUGGCCUUGGUACCGUAUCCUGGAAAUCUCUCCAUUCCGGAUGCAGCAAGGGAGGCAGACGUACCUAUCCUGAGAGAGGCAGGCUGGACCAGUGCCUGGGCAGAACCAGGCUCUGCGGGCGCGGGGAUGGAGGGCUUUGGGAGGUGAAGAAAUCAGCAUCUGCCAUUGAUGUCUUCAGCCUCUGGGCUUUGGAUGUCUUUGACUGCUAUCCCCCAGAGUCUAGGAGUUUAAUGUAGUGGUGGGUGACUUGUAAAGGAGAAAGCCCAGAGCUGGAACUCACACAGACCCAGUUUGACUCCCAGCUCCAGCACAUACUACUAACUGUGUGACCUAGGGAUGUAACUCAGCCUCUCUGAGCUCCUGGUUCUAUACCUGGAAAAUGGGGAAGUGUACUGAAACCUAACUCGUAGAGUCCUUGAAAAGGGUAAAUGAAAUUAUGAGUAAAAUGCCUGACAUCCUAGUAGCUCUUACUCCCAACCCCCUUCGGUAUCUGGAGCCACACUUUUUGGGAUCUUCUAAGUUACUACUCUCUCAAUCCUUGAAAUCGACCUCAUCAUCUUACUGCUCCUCACUGGCCAUUGUCAAAAUUUUGAAAUGGAGGCAAGCUGGGAAGACAAGCUUGAGCCUUCAGAACAGGAGCCACUCCAGACCUAGUAGCUGGAGCUGCACAGUAUCUUAGAGGAGAAUGGGGGAGAGCACCCCCAUGUGACACUUCAAAGGGCUCUCAUAUAACCCCAAGCCCCCCAACUCCCCAGUCUCUACCCUGUACUAGCGGAACAGGAAAAAAAACAUCAAAGACUGGCUGUCACACCAUUCCACACCCUCCUGUCAUAUCUGAAACACAUUGCCAGAUUAUCUAGGAGGCCAGGAUUGCAAAUCGAUGGCAUGCACCCCACCACUCUCCCGUCCUAUAGCUGUGGCAGACAUCAUUAAUCAAUCACAGCACUCUUCCCUGCUGAGCCCAGAGGAGGCAGCAGACUCCUUCUCCACAUAGCACUCUGACAGACACCACCAAUCGAUCAGAGAUGUCACGCAAGAGGAAACCUAUUUACCAAACCAUAGACAUUUGCCCUCUGGAGUGGCCUAGCCAUAGAGGGCAAACAGCAAACUAGAGAGGCACAGUAAGAAGGAAACCAAGGUGGAUCAUUGAGCUGCCAAGUGCUUACAAGAACCCACUGCACGAGGGCUAAGAAAAAUCCCGAUAAAACAAUACAUUAGCCAUGGAAUCCCAGUUUGAAGGGCUAUUUCCAAAGUACAAUUUCUGCGUUUUCCAUGUACUGCUUUGUUGGGCACUUUUUUCCCUACAGCAAGGAGGUUUUCUCAGGAGAUUGAGGGAAGCACACAGAGAGGGGGGUCAUCUUCACACAGUUCCAGGCAUCGUUAGCCAAGCCUCUAACUAAACACAGGUGUCAGCAAGGCCAGUUAACCAAAGCUGAUCCCACCUCCAGGACGGUUAACAAGACAGUGACAUAUAGCGCAGGCUGUUAAAUCUUCCAAGGCAGGAAUCCUUGUCUUCAGUGAAUGGCCAUGAAUCAACUAAACGGGAUAUGCCAGGAUGUUUAAGACGGCCGUAUAUUUAUUUAUGAGUGAAUGACCAGUUCAGUAUUUCUGCCAGUUACCUUUAUGGUUUUUAUGAGAUUUGGAUAACGUUUAUUUAUCGCCUGCACAGUUUCCCAUUCACAGUGGAGCUUUGUUCGACAUUUAGAAAUGUUCCUAAUGUUUUUGCUGGUCUCUCUGGCAUGAAUAAAGGGAUCUUUUUUCUUUGAGUUUCUGCA
rnacentral:lncRNA from 1 species